rnacentral:lncRNA from 1 species
GGUGGAGUGAUUGGUGCACUGGCAAGAUAAUGCAAGAGAAGCUUGCACAGCAUCUACUCACAAUACUCCUGUUGCUGCAGAACAGUGCAUUAGUCCCUCAGUUUCCUGAGCUUGAAAUUCACCCAGAGAAUAGUUAAAAGGAAGCCACCGUAUCCGGGGACUGCACAGACCUGUGAAUUCAGCUGCCAAGCCGGCGCAGGGCACUGCCCAGCUCUAGGCACUAGUCUGGGGAAAUAUCCACCUGCAGUGGUGCUGCAGGACCCAGCAGACGGCGAGGAGAGAUUCUGUCUCUGCUUUAGACCUACCUGCCCUUGGCUGGCACUAAGAGGCUCUUCGAACGUCUCCGUGCUCUGGACCAUGACACAAGGUCCCCUGGCCACACUGGCUAGUGGGAAGAGUAACCAAGAUUUAGUAGGUUCCCCUCCGUUUUUAUGUGACCGUCCUCUCAGGACUGCGGCGAAGAAAGAAAACACCAUCCAUCGUGAUUAUCAAUCCGUGUGGAUGGAUGCAUCGGGCCUUGAGCCUGCAGCCGCCUCGGGAAGCCUGCCAAAGAGUGGGGAGGACUGUUCCCCAGCUCCACCUGCACCAGGGAGACCAAUGCACUCCAGCUACAGCCGCAGAAAUACACACGCCGGUGGAACACCCUGCCAGGCCCCUGCAGAUGGCAGCAGCUCCACAGGGGGACAUCGCAAGAAGGCAGAGGACAUGUGAGUAGAAUGCAGAAAUUUGGCUUCGCCCAGGUUUCACAGGGUGCCACAGAUGGUCAGACAUGUGGUAGAGGAAUGCCCAAUCAGAAGACUGGAGGGUGGACUGCAUCACCUGGCUAUCCUCAAUGGUGUAGCAGUUAGAUGGAUGAAGAAUCUAGAUAUCGACUUGUGAAGCUUAUGAAAAAAGAAGAUGGCUUUAGAUACCCAGGCGGUAAAUGCUAUAGGAAACCAUAGAUAGACAGAAGGGUGUAGAUGAGGAUAGCUAAACCAACCAUGCACUGGUAAUUUGGCUAUGUAAUGUGUGACUGGCCACCUGAAUCACAUAGGAUUUUUUUCUGAGCCCUGAUUGGAUGACAAACUUUUUAAACAGGAGGAUUACAAAUAAUGACUAGCAAAUCUGGUUGUUU